rnacentral:lncRNA from 1 species
GAACCUUGGAUGAAGGUCUUGGAGAAGGAGGAGGAUGAGGAGGAUGAAGAUGAAGGAGGGUGGAGGAGAUGUGGUGACAAUGGAUGGGUCAAAGGGCAGGAGGAGGAGGAGGAGGAGGAAGGUCGGGUUUUGGGGGAGAACCUUGGGGGUCUCUGCUCACUCUGGACCUUCUCCUGCAGCCGCCGUCUUGGGGACAACCAGAGCCCAGGAGAGCUCCAGGGAGCUCCUGGCCACCAAUGCGACCACCAUGACCUCCUCGGAGACCACCAUGGACAACAAUGGGACCACCACAACCACCCCAAAGACCUCCACGACCCCCUCAGGGACCUCCAGGGAAUCCAUGGUCACCACAGGGACCUCCACAGAAUCCAUGGACACCUCAGGAACCUUCACAACCUCCUCAGGGCCCACCACGACCAACACAGGAAUCUCCACAACCACAUCAAGGACCACCCCGACCACCUCAGUGACCACCACGACCACCAUGGAGACCACCCUGAGCAUCUCAGGGACCUCCACGACUCCUCCAGCGUCCACCUCUUCCUCCGGGACCUCCACCACACCCUCGGCACUGACCAACCUCGCCUCGUUGUCUCCACCUUCCUCCUCUUCCUCUUCCUCCCCCACCUCCGGCCUCUCCCCAUCACCUUUCACCUCUUCCUCUUCCUCCUCACCUUCCUCUUCCUCCUCAUCUUCCUCUUCCUCCUCCAGGACCUUCAGAUCUGAACCCCUCAAACUUCUCCAACCCCAACAACUCCUCCUGCUCUUCAUCAUCACCUUCCUCUUCUUCAUUCCCACUCCAACCUCUCUCCAUUGUCUACCUACUCCUCCUCUUCUUCAUCCUCCUCUUCUUCAUCGUCCUCUUCCUCCCCCAAAACCUUCAGGUCAUGGACCCCUCCCAACCCCAAUUCCUCCUGCUCUUCAUCAUCGUCUUCCUCUUCUUCACCCUCCUUUUCUUCAUCCUCUUCUUCAUUCUCCUCCUCAUCCCCCUGUCCCCUCUAACCUGUCCCCACCGUCCUCCUCCUCCUCCUCAUCCUCCUCUUCCUCCAGGACCUUCAGAUCUGAACCCCUCAAACCUCCCCCCACNNNNNNNNNNNNNNNNNNNNNNNN